ensembl:lncRNA
CCGCGCCCCCGGUGCGCCUGGCUUAGAGCCCCGUCGACCCCUAGUAACCUGCCGGUGCAUUUUGUACCUUCUAAAUAGAGCGCAUGCUGGCUUAUGCACGAUGAUGCGGUCUCUCUGGAAUCCUGGCAGCGCAUGGGAUCUUAGUUCCUCAACCAGGGAUUAAACCCUGCAUUGGAAGAUGAAGUCUUUACCACUGGACCACCAGGGGAUUCUCCUCAUUGAAUCUUUUAUAUGUUACUAGUCUUAUUUUAGGAGAAGGCAAUGGCACCCCACUCCAGUACUCUUGCCUGAAAAAUCCCAUGGACGGAGGAGCCUGGUAGGCUGCAGUCCACAGGGUCGCACAGAGUCAGACACGACUGAAGCGACUUAGCAGCAGCAGCAGCAGUCUUAUUUUAUUUUUGUUUCAUCUAUCAUCUAUUUGUAGGAGAAAAGUAUCUUAAAAUUUCCUCGUAUACUGUAGAUUUUAUAGUUUUCCCUUCCCUUUCUGGCUUACUUUGAUGUUGUUAGAGUCGUAUAAAGACUAGGUUAUUUAGUCCCUGGUAAACUGUUUAUCAUCAAAAAUGUCAUCUGUAUUCCUAGUAAUCCUUUAUCUCUCAAAAUCUAUUCUGUCAGAUUUUAAUAUCACUGUAUCAGAUUUCCAUUUACCCUACAUUGAGAAGCAGCAGAGAACAACAUUAAGAGCAUGGAUUCUGAAGUCAGGCUGCUGGGAUUCAAAUUCCAGCACUAACACCUUUUAAGUAUGAGACCUCAAGCCAAUUUUUAACCUCAAUAUGAAAUGGGUUUAGUUACUACCUACCUCAGAGGAUUGUUAUGAAGAUGAAUUACCAUUUUUAAAGCACUUUGAACAUUAUAAUAUGCAUUCCAUAUGUAUUUGUAGCAUUAAAUAAAUAGAUAUAUGUGCAUCCCUUUUCUGUGUCAUUAUUUUAUAAAUAUUUGUCUAAUAAACACCAUAUAGUGGCUAAAUAUGGUAAUGCUUCAGUAAAUACCUUUAUUACAGAAGUUAUAUCCCAUAUGUAUGAGUGUAUCUGUAGAAGAACUCCCAGACACAGGACUGCUAGGUGGAAAAAUACGUGUGUUUAUAAUUUUCCUAGAGCUUGCCAAAUUGCCUUACACAGGAGUCUGGUACAAACCUUACAUAAGGCAAUUUGUCAGUCUCUCGAAAAACUGAUCUUUGCCAGUCUGUUAAGUGAAAAAUGGUAUUUCGAUAUAGAUGUCAUUUGCAUUUAUCUUACUUUAAAUGAGGUUGAGCAUAUUUGAAUGCUCUUUGUAUUUCCUUUACUGUGACUGUUCCCAUACCCAUUUUUCAAUUGGGUGGUUGAUCUUUUCUGAAUCUGUCUGUACAAGUCUUUUAGAUAUUGAAAAAUCAAUCCUUGCUCUAUGGUAUGAGCUGAUUUUUUUUCUAAGCACUUCCCCU